rfam:Schistosoma margrebowiei strain Zambia genome assembly, scaffold: SMRZ_contig0004416
GCACUGCCGAGGAGUCCCACAAUAAGACUAAACGGUCGUCCAGUGU